rnacentral:rRNA from 1 species
GACGUAGGGCGCGAGCGUUGUCCGGAUUUAUUGGGCGUAAAGAGCUCGUAGGCGGCUUGUCGCGUCGGCUGUGAAAGCCCCCGGCUCAACUGGGGAGGGUCAUUCGAUACUGAUCGACUCGAAGGCAGGAGAGGGUAGUGGAAUUCCCGGUGUAGUGGUGAAAUGCGUAGAUAUCGGGAGGAACACCAGUGGCGAAGGCGGCUUCCUGGCCUGUUCUUGACGCUGAGGCGCGAAAGCUAGGGGAGCAAACAGG